rnacentral:sRNA from 1 species
UCAAAUAACAAGUACUUAUGGUGGGCAUACCUAUUAUCUAAUAUCAAGUUCUAGGUGAUCAAUCUAAGAAUAAUCAAGAUGAAGAACUCUAAGAAUAAUUCUAAGGGGUUUUCGAUCUACUAAUCCAUCUAAAUCCCUAUUAAGACACCUUAAACCCAACAAGGUGAUUACUGAGACAUGAUAACAGAAACACAAAUCAUAAUCUGAAUAGAUUGCAUUGAUGAAUUAAGAAUAAGAGUAAAAGGAGUUCAAAAUCAUCUCUCUGCAUGGAUUGGAUUCUUCUCUCCAAAAUAAAACAAAGCUGAGGUCUUA